rnacentral:lncRNA from 1 species
AUGAGAACAGGGGAAAAGGGCAUUUUUUUUUUUUUUGAGAUUUUAUUUAUUCAUUUGGCAGAGAGAGAGAGACAGCACAAGCAGGGGGAGCUGCCGGCAGAGGGAGAAGCAGGCUCCCUGCUGAGCAGGGAUUCCAACACGGGACUCCAUCCCAGGACCCUGGAAUCACGACCUGAGCUGAAGGCAGACUGUCAACCGACUGAGCCACCCAGGCACCCUGAAAAGGGCAAUUCUUACGUCACCACAGAUUUGCCCGCUCUCUGGGCCCAGCAGGUGGUGAAAACCGUCUCCUGGGCCACCUCCCGCUCUCCCAGGUUCUUCAGAGACUCCCAUCUUCGAGGCUCUGUCCUGAGGGUCCCAUCUUCAUUUCCUUUCCGGGAAGAGAGACAGAGAGCAGACAGACACAAGGAGAAGGCCCUGUGAAGACAGAGGCAGAGUUUGGAGUCAUGUGACCACAAGCCAAGGAACAUCCGGGAAAGCUGGAAGACACCAGAAAGGAUUCUCCCCUAGGUCCUUUGGUGGGAGAGCUAGAACUAGGAUCUGGACUCCUCACUUCUCGUCUUGGAUCGUGCUUCCUGCCGAUACCCUGAUCUCACACUUCCAGCUUCCAGAAUGUGAGAGAGUAGGUAUCUGUUGUGUUAAACCACCUUUGUCACAGAAACCCUAAGAGGCUAAUACAGUCAUAGGAGACACUGUGCUCUCUACCCUGCUCUCUCUCACAUCCCUUGUCCUAAGGCAAGCAGGCCGCCAUGACAUGAGGAUCCUCAGGCAGACCUAUGGAGAGGCUCACAUGGCAAGGAGCCAAGGACCUGGUCAACAGCCCACGCCAUCUUGCCACACUAUGAGUGAGUAGCCUCAGAAGCAGAUCCCACAGCCUCAGGCGGGCCUUCAGAUGGCUGCAAACCCAGCUGAUAUUUGGGUAUUGCCCCCUAAAAGGCACAGAGCCAGAACACCCAGGGAAGCCAUUCCCCCAUUCCUGGCUCCCAGAAACUGUGAGAGGACUAAUGCUUAUUAUUAUUUUAAGCUACCAACAACUGAAGUAAUCCAUUAGGCAGCAACAGAUAACUAAGACUGAUGUCUAUUGUACUGGGGCCUUGGGAUAACCGGAAACAGGAAGGGUGGCACCGUGGAAACCUCCUACAUCACUUGGAACUGUCAGGGGCCCCAGAACCAUUCUCUUCAGGGACGUUUCAUGCUGUGGGCUCCUCCACCAUUUGUGGAUAGGUGUCCCAGUCAUUCCUUUAUGGAUGAACACCUUCCGUGUGCUGGACACCGUGUUAGGGGCUGGGGCUGUAGGUGUGAACAGACUUGUUCACGGCCAGCCGCCAUGAUGGCCAUCCCUCUGCUGACUAGGCAGCUAUGGGCAAAAAAGACGGCCCUCCUCUGCAGAGGCCCGAGAAGGAGGGGGCCUGGGGACACUAGGGGGAGGAGCCUUCAGCACUGAGAUCCUGCAAAGGCAGGAAGAGUGCGAAGUUCCAGGGUCCACAGUGCUCCUAGCUGCUGACUCUUCAUCUGAAAGAUGGGGAUAAGAGCCCAUGCCCCCUUGGGUUGUCAGGAAGAUUAGAUAAUACAUGGAAUUCAUGGGAAGAGUAAACAGCCCACGGCACUUUUCUUGUCUGAAUAUUAUUAUUGACAGCACUGUCCCUCCACGGCCAUCAGACUCUUCUAUCAGGUCAGUAUUUGAGAAGGGACAAAUUAAAAUGAAACAGAUGUAAAGUUGGAGGCUGAUGGAAAUUUGUGGCUGGAAGGCUGUUUUCUGUUUUUGGGAGGGAUUCUGUUCCAGCUCUAAGACAGCUCCCUGUGUAAGGUGAUGAGUGUGAUUAAUUGCAAUCAGCUCCUCUCCACAUAAUGAGGAAAGCUGGAUGUCACCCCAUGGCUUCCAUCCAGGUGAGUGCAGUUACCCAGUAUGUCCACAGGAUGUCGCUAACAAUCACUCUUCGACUACCUGCAGCCAAACCCGGUUGCUCAGGGCCUGGAACUCAAUAGCAGACCCCCAUUCAGGGGUUUAGCAAUCUUCAGCAACACCCUUUGAAACAGUUCUUUAAAUGGCAACGCAGUGUGAGUAGAAGCGGGGGAGGGGUGGUGGUGGCCAAGAGUGACUUGGCCUGGGGAACCCAGGUGGCUAGGUGUGGAGCUAGAAGAGGACCAGGGUCUCCUGUGUCCCAAUGAGGUGUGCUAACCGCACAUCUGUCCAGCGUGUGUAAGAGGCUGGUGGGGACAGGAACCUGGUUUCUGGGUCUCUAGGAUGGCCACCCCAGGGAAUGUGAUUUGAAGACAGGGGUUCAGGGGACCACUGGAGGGCCUCUGUUCCUUUCCCUUGAGCCCCAGGCCAGCUCUGCAGGCCCCCGAGGCUGCCUUCUGAUUUCUGCUUGUUGAAUGGCAGGAACAAUGGAAUUAGCAAUUCGUUCUUAGACUAGAAGGUGCUCACAAAGCCAGGUCCUCAGAAAAAUGCUUGCUCCUAGCCCCUGCUCCUGAGCAGAGGGGUCUUUCUAGUUCUUGGGGAGCCCAGGCAGUGUCUAACUCUGGCAUGAAGAGGCUCCCAGCCAACACAAAUGUCUCCACCCAGAGUCAUUGUCCAGAGCCUACUCUGACUGGAAGUGAAGCACCAGAGAGGCAAGAAUUCUGGCCCAGGUGCCUGACUUGCACAAAGGGAAGGCCGUUCUCAGGGGCCAGAGCCUGUCUGUGGAGGGGCCACGGCGUGUACGCAGCAGAUGCUCAGGAAGCUCCGUUCUCAUUCCUUUCUCGCUUCCUCGGAGCCUUCUAGAAGGGACCAGCCUAGCCCAUCCCAAGGUACUGCUCUUUCUUUUCCGAUGAUGAUGAUGAUGAUCGGGAGUGCUGUGAUUUCUUUCCCCUCCCUCUUCAUUUUGGCAGAAUCACCUCUCGGCAGAGGAGCCGUUUGCCCUGGGGCUCCAAUCCACAGCACCUGGAGGGCCUGCCUCCCAGCUCCUGCGCCUGAGAAGCAAACAAUGCAGUAAAAAGCAGAGCAUUUCCUCCUCCGUGAAAUGGUAGCAGGAGAGAAGGAAGUGGGCCUCCGGCCACUGUGCAUUUGGGUUAGGGUCUAGCCACUGUGUAUUUGGACGGAGGCGGUCAGCAUCUGCACCCCUCCCGUGGUGGACCUGGUGUGGGUAGGACCACCCCCACCCCUACUCAGAGGCAGAGAGAAUGGGAGGGAAGGGAAUGCCCAGGACUAGGAAGUGUGGGGUUUUCUGGAGAGCUGUUGGAGGUAGGGUCAGGGACUGGGAGAGAGAAACUCAGCCUGGGAUUGGUUUAUUUUUAUUGCUUUUUAAAAUCAUGUAAAUAAUCUACAUUCAUUGAAAAAAAAUUAGAAAGCACAGAUAAGCCAAGAGAAGACAACAAAAGUCAUCUGUUAACAUCUUGGCAAAUAUCCCUUUUCUAUGCUUAGAUACAUAGACAAUACUUUUGUUUCAUCAAUAAAAUGUUUUCUU